CGCUUUCCACAUUGAUUACAAUGUUCCCCGACAACAGUUUGUAGAAGGAGGGGUGUGUGGGAAGAACGAGAACUUCUUGGAAAAACCUUUCAUUAAUUUCAUGAUAAUAUUUGGAUGGAUAUCUCCAACGGAUCAAUCGGAUAUAUGAAUUUGCAUCUAUACUUUUCUUUAUACUAUUCUUCCGUUCAUAGGAAUAUCCCAUUCACACGCCUUCUGAUACUCUCUUCAUGUUAUGGUCUGUUCAUCUUGACUCUUAUGGCGAUAUCCCUUGAACAAGUGCCUCACUUGGUGGAUCUCAUCUCCUUUAAUGGAAGGAUCGUCCAUUGUGCAGGAGCUUCUUCAUGUCAAAGAGUCUGUGGUAGUGACUUCUGAUCUCGUUAAUCAUUGUCCCUAUACAUAAUUUCCUCCAGUAUGAAAAUAAGAUUUAAGUCCCCCUUUAUAUAAUCCCAGGGUGCGUUUAUGAGGAAAAUGUAAAACGACUGAUAGAGAAGUACAACUGAAAUGAAGAAUUUUGCAAUGCAAAAAAACUAGGGUAAAGGGACGAAUGAGCCAACAACAACGGGGGGGGGGGAAUCCAGGCCUUGUUCAAUGUAAAAACUAAUUGAAUAGUCAAUAAGACUAGAAUGUACCAAUGAGAAAAUGAGGAAGUAUAAUACAAUAUGCGUCUUACAUAAUAAAAUCUUUCAGGUAUAAAUCACAGACAAUGGAUGAAAUAUCUGGAUAACGUGCCUUAUUGAAGAAAUAAUAUGUUGAAUAACAGGCCUAUAAUACAAUCAAUUAUUAAAUUAAGAGAUUUAGGAAAUCAUAGUACUUAUGCAGUGUUAUAAAAUACAUACAAACACUAAUAUACAUUUAGUAACUAAUAAUAUCACCCUCAAGGAUCAUGAAUUUAUUUAAAAUUUAUAGGUUUAUAAUACCCAAGGACAGAAAAUAAAUUUCAUUUGCAUAUAUGUAACAAAAAAAUACCAUAUAUUACCAUAGAUAUAAAACAUAAUAUUAUGUAGAGUAAUUAUUACAAAUUAAAAAUCAAGUUUCUUCAAUAGAUUCUGAAUUCCA
rnacentral:lncRNA from 1 species